rnacentral:rRNA from 1 species
GACGAACGCUGGCGGCGUGCUUAACACAUGCAAGUCGAACGGAAAGGCCCUGCUUUUGUGGGGUGACCGAGUGGCGAACGGGUGAGUGACAGGUGAGUAUCCUGCCCUUGUCUUUGGGAUAAGUUCAGGAAACUGGGGUUAAUCCAGGACCGGAGACCCUCUUCCGGGGAGGGGAGGGGAAAUUUUCGGCUGUCGGGGAUGGAUUCGCGGCUUAUGAGCUUGUUGGUGGGGGAGUGGCUUGCCAAGGCAUUGACGGGUAGCCGGCCUGAGAGGGUGACCGGCCACAUUGGUACUGCGGGACGGCCCAGUCUCCAACGGGAGGCAGCAGUGGGGAGUAUUGCACAAUGGGCGGAAGCCUGAUGCAGCGACGCCGCGUGCGGGAUGACGGCCUGCGGGUUGUAAACCGCUUUCGCCUGUGACGAAGCGUGAGUGACGGUAAUGGGUAAAGAAGCACCGGCUAACUACGUG